rnacentral:rRNA from 1 species
UGGAAGUCGGGCGGGAGGACAGAGAGCGUGCGCGCGGGUGACGAGCGGGGGGCGGGUGAGUAAUGGCUGGGAAACGGCCGGAUGGAGGGG